UAUAAGAGGCGUUCUUCCAUCUUUAUCAGAAGCAUUAACAUUGGCUCCUUGAUUAAUAAGCAAACCUACAGUGUCUGUAUGCCCAUUACUUGCUGCUAAUAUGAGAACAGUGCUUCCAUAUCUAUCAGCAGCAUUUACAUCUGCUCCAUGAGCAACAAGUAAGUGUACGAUGUUUUUAUAACCAGCGCUUGCAGCUAAUAUGAGAGCAGCAGCUUUUUUAUAUUCAUC
rnacentral:lncRNA from 1 species